UUCCUACGGGGGGCAGCAGUGGGGAAUAUUGGGCAAUGGGCGCAAGCCUGACCCAGCAACGCCGCGUGAACGAGGAAGGUCUUCGGAUCGUAAAGUUCUGUUGAAGGGGAAAAAGAGCGGAGAGAGGAAAUGAACUCCGAUUGAUAUUACCCUUCGAGGAAGUCACGGCUAACUACGUGCCAGCAGCCGCGGUAAUACGUAGGUGGCGAGCGUUAUCCGGAAUGAUUGGGCGUAAAGGGUGCGUAGGCGGCCUGCUAAGUCUGGAGUGAAAGGUACCGGCUCAACCGGUACAGGCUCUGGAAACU
rnacentral:rRNA from 1 species